UACGUAGGGUCCGAGCGUUGUCCGGAAUUAUUGGGCGUAAAGAGCGUGUAGGCGGCCGCACAGGUCCGUUGUGAAAACUGGAGGCUUAACCUUCAGACGUCGAUGGAAACCGUGCGGCUAGAGUCCGGAAGAGGAGAAUGGAAUUCCUGGUGUAGCGGUGAAAUGCGCAGAUAUCAGGAAGAACACCCGUGGCUAAGGCGGUUCUCUAGUACGGUACUGACGCUGAGACGCGAAAGCGUGGGGAGCGAACAGG
rnacentral:rRNA from 1 species